AAAAAUCCAUUAUCAUCUCAACCCUCGUUUACACCCUUUAGAAACGUUAGGCACACGCCUCAAAACAAGCAUGGACAAGGAAAAAGAAAUGAGGUACAGCAGCAUCCUUUAUUAUACAAUGUUAAAAUGAACGAGCAUAAAGAACAAUGCCUGGAUAAACAUGGCUACAAUUCUUGGUGUCUCUGGUCAGGUUUUAGAGUCAAGCACAGUACAGAAACACCCUGGUGAAGGUCAAGCACAGUACAGACACGCCC